AUCUGUGGAAAGCAGUGUUUUGAAGCAGGUAGCAAGUUCUAAAGAUCCAGCUUCUGAAUCACAGUUUUAUUCGUGUCUCUGAAGUUCUUGUAUCUUUGUUUCUGCUGUCUGAUGCCUAAACUAUGGGACAGAGAUAAAUAAUUUCAUCUCUUCAACAUCUCAGUGCUGUGCCAGCAUGGAGUUUGUAUAUGUUGGGCAACUGGGUAUUUACAGCUUUAUGGAGUGCUUGCCAGAAAAGAUGCAGACUGAAGUUGGUUGCAAUUCCUCACAUUAAAUUGUGCUUUGAGGUCCUCCAAAGAAAGGCUACGGACAAAUGCCAGUGAAGAUCAUCACACUGCAAGCUUUAUAGGAAGGACACAGGUUGAGACACUGUUGCAGUUCAAGCCAUCUGAUAGCAAUCUUAGAAGAUAUAUUUUGGCAUGAUAGGUACCAGCUUUUUAAAACAAUCGGGUCUUGCAAGGGCAUAUAAUUAUUGUGUAAUAAUUUCCCAUUUGUCAUACAAGGUUACAUGCUUUCAUAAGGUGUGGAGUUACUUUUUACACAGCAGCCACAUAGCCUGAGGCACCUGAUCCUGACCGGAAUCACUACACUGUAGAAUACAGUAGUCUCUGAAUAGACAACUGCUCCAUUUCUGUUAUCACGUGAUGAUCUUUUUAUUGUCUCUGUAUCUUGGGUCUCAGAGGACUUUUGGAGAUGCUCAGUUUUCUCUUUAACUCUUCAAGUGAUCUCAGAGGGUUGUGGGAAAAGUUGUGUGACCCAGAGUUGGACAUUUCAGCAUUUGCUAAAUGUAACAUACAGAAAAGGGUAGCUUGAAGACAAAAGUUACAAAGAAGAAAGAUGGUGCGUAGUUAGGAAAGAACAAGCUCUGUUAAACUGAAACACAAGACCUAACAGCAGAGAUGACUGAAAAUGAUGAUGUAGCAAAUGGUUCUGCAAGCAGCAGAUGGAUGAAGCAGACUUUUCAUUGAGUCAUGAUACCCUCAUCUUCAUUUUGCUUGCUCUAGAAGAGAUGACCCAUGGUGCAGCUAGUUCAAACCUAAAUGGGUGACUGGGCAGUCAACACCUCUUGUUUAUGCAACAAGCUGAAAUAAAUGUUCUGUCCCUCUAAUGCUGGUGGUCCAAACAAGUGGCUUUAUGGGCUACAUGCAGUCUCAAUACAUAUUUUCUACAGGUCUCUUGUAAAAACUUGUUUCCUUUCAGAGUUCUACUCCACUGUCAGAUUUGGUUGAGGCUGGACAAAAUGCAUUCAAAAAGUAGCUGCAAGGAUGGCUAAAAUAGUUACAUAAGCCUUGUUUCUGAAGGAAAGCAGGGUAAGCAAAAAUUCCUAAAUUGUACGUAAAGUUGUUUCCUAUUUUCUUAGGAAAUCUUCAACCAAUUGAAGUGUAUCAACUGACAGAGAAAGAGGAUCAGGGAAGGCAUUUGGGCAGAAAGAAUUGAUUGCUCACAUACGCGGCUGAUUCAGUCUUACAACAUCUUUCUCUACAGUGAGAACUUCUGAAUAGUUUUCAGUGUCAAAAACAAGCCUGUGAUCUUCCUCCACUAUUUCUACUCAAUGCAGAAGCCUCCUUUGUUGUUACUGCUUUCCUAUGUUCCUUUGCCUCACCAAUUCAAUUGCAAUUUCUUCACUUUGUGACACUCCAGCUUCCUCUUCAAGGCCAGGAUGCUGGAAUUCUGCAGUGGGCAAGAAUCUCACAAUUCUAAAUCAUAUUUCAGAUGUUUUGAUGGCUUAUAUCCUUACAGAGAAAAAAGCUUGAAAAUAUAGCUCAAAUCAAUCCUAAAAUUUCAAAUUCAAAUAGCAAGACAAAUAGCCCUUAAAUGCUACUAUAGAUAUACAUGUUAUGAUUUUAAGAUGAUCCUGAUAUUUCUGAACAUUGAGUUGCUGACAUUAUAUACUUGCUGAUCUAGAUUUUCAGAAGUAUAGUUGUGGUUAACAGUGCUGAAAUGAACAGAAAUAUACACUGACUUACAUUGGGGAUCUGGCUUGCUGCCUCUUUUCACGUCAUUCAGAGACAUAGCUUCUCUCCUGCCUUUGACUACACUGGGAUGAAGAACAAAUAAAUUCUAAUGUUUCGCUCCACAGCUUUGAAAAAGGCAGUGUGGAGCAAAUACAGGACUCUCCAUGUUGGAGUUCUGGGUUGAAAUGCUGGCUCUAUUGAGGUCCAUGAUAAAACUGUUUGACCUGAGUGGAUUUUGUUCUUAGGGAUUCACUAUUUCUGUUCCUGACUUGUCCCUGCAGGUCACAUCUUUGCAAAUGCUAUCCUCCCACAACUAUGUUUGCCUUGUCUGUUUACCUUAUCAUCUAAUUUCAGAAGGCUUCAGCUCUUCUGUGUUUGUAGGCAGGUUCUCAGUGGGGAUGUGAACUGGUGCUGCAGCCCUUACCACUGUUACCUUGGAGAUCCUUCUAAUAUGAAAGAUAUAUACAAAAAAGAUGUGGACUCACUUUUUAAUGUAAAAGGUAAAUGCAAAACUCCUGCGACAUUGAAUAACUGUCACUGGAACUCAGUUUGGAUAAUCACCCUAAGGCGAAGCUUUCCUCUGAACUCAAGGUGAGUCUGAACUUUAUUAGGAGUAACAUCACAUUUUUUAGAAGUUCAUAUUUGCAUCCAUGGGCCUAUCUGUGAUCUGUAAUCUUCUGAGUUUGCAAAUUUUGGCUGAAGACUUUCCAGAAUAAAAGGUAUUGCACCUCCCACUGUCAAUUUUACAGGAAAAGUCUUGCUCUUGAGGUUUAGGAGGGAAGGUCUAGCUAAACCUCACAGAACUCUCUAAAAGUUUUGUGUUGGAUCUUAUUCUGAAGGCAGAUAAAAGCACUGAAAGCUCAGUUGGGUACAUCUGCAUGUACUUCCAUCAUAUUUUUGAUUGGAAUGAGAUAUACCCUGAGAGUUUGGCCAGUUAUAGCCUGUGGUUUUUAGUCUAGCAAAUCACACCUUUGUGCAGUGUAGACAUAUAUCCUUACAUGGAUAACACCACUGCAGCUCAGCAAUGCUGAGUUCCCCUCUGGGCACAAGCUAAUGAAGGUGAAUCAGAGCUUCAUGAUGACUUGAAAUGUUCUUACAGACCUUUCCAGGCAAUGGACUACCUUCUUUGCACAUGGCUUGUUCUAUUUUUGGCUGUAUGCCGAUGGUACCAGACAAGCUGAGGUUUUUUCUUUGUAUUUUCAUCUGUUGCUGUACCCUCCACUCUGGGAAUUCCUCCUCAUGCAGGAGCUAACAUGAGCUUGUAGAGAAGGCAGACAGUGUCAGAAAAACAGACUUUGCAAAAAUGACAACAAAUUCCAUUUGGUUUAAAUGCAAAUCAGCCAAAGGUAUUGUAAAUGCACAAAUACGGUAGUAAAAACAAUUAGCUCCAUACAGAGAGAAACACAGUGAACAAAGCACCACGUCAUCUUGUCACGCCAUGAAGUAAGAUAAUAUAUUAGCAUUGUAAACAACAGUUAUUCCCUUUAUUUUCUGUGUAUUGUAUCUCUUUGCUUUACCACUGUUUCACUUUUGUGGGAAAGAACUAGUUUUUAGUGCAGGUUAUCAGGAAAAAUUAGACUUUGUACUCUCCUGGAAACUCUGCUGUGGUCUCUGUUAUUCUAUUUGCUGAUAAGGUUUUUUAACCUUUUAUAUUGUUACAUUUUCCAAAUAAACAAGAUCAAUAAUUGAUACAUACAAAGUCCUUGCACAGAGCAUGUAAGACAUCUGUUAUCCUAAAAGCUUUGAUAGAUAUUUCUCUCCAACCUAUUUCUUUUCUCUCAGACAUAUAAUAAAGAUUACAA